GUAGGGAAUAUUGGGCAAUGGUCGGAAGACUGACCCAGCCAUGCCGCGUGCAGGAAGACGGCCCUCUGGGUUGUAAACUGCUUUUAUCUGGGAAGAAAAAGGCCAUGCGUGGCAAAUUGCCGGUACCAGAUGAAUAAGCACCGGCUAACUCCGUGCCAGCAGCCGCGGUAAUACGGAGGGUGCGAGCGGUGUCCGGAUUUAUUGGGUUUAAAGGGUGCGUAGGCGGCUGAUUAAGUCAGCGGUGAAAGACUUCGGCUUAACCGGAGCAGUGCCGUUGAUACUGGUUGGCUUGAGUGUCGGAGGGGUACAUGGAAUUGAUGGUGUAGCGGUGAAAUGCAUAGAUACCAUCAGGAACACCGAUAGCGAAGGCAUUGUACUGGCCGACAACUGACGCUGAUGCACGAAAGUGUGGGGAUCGAACAGGAUUAGAUACCCUAGUAGUCC
rnacentral:rRNA from 1 species